GUGGGGAAUUUUGCGCAAUGGGGGAAACCCUGACGCAGCAACGCCGCGUGGAGGAUGAAAUCCCUUGGGAUGUAAACUCCUUUCGAUCGGGACGAUUAUGACGGUACCGGAAGAAGAAGCCCCGGCUAACUUCGUGCCAGCAGCCGCGGUAAUACGAGGGGGGCAAGCGUUGUUCGGAAUUAUUGGGCGUAAAGGGCGCGUAGGCGGUUUGACAAGUCUGAUGUGAAAUCUCUGGGCUCAACCCAGAGUCUGCAUUAGAAACUGUCGGGCUUGAGUAUGGGAGAGGUGAGUGGAAUUUCCGGUGUAGCGGUGAAAUGCGUAGAUAUCGGAAGGAACACCUGUGGCGAAAGCGGCUCACUGGACCAUAACUGACGCUGAGGCGCGAAAGCUAGGGGAGCAAACAGGAUUAGAAACCCUAGUAGUCC
rnacentral:rRNA from 1 species